UACGUAGGGUGCAAGCGUUGUCCGGAAUUAUUGGGCGCAAAGAGCUCGUAGGCGGUCUGUCGCGUCGGCUGUGAAAUCCCGAGGCUCAACCUCGGGUCUGCAGUCGAUACGGGCAAACUAGAGUAUUGCAGGGGAGACUGGAAUUCCUGGUGUAGCGGUGAAAUGCGCAGAUAUCAGGAGGAACACCGGUGGCGAAGGCGGGUCUCUGGGCAAUAACUGACGCUGAGGAGCGAAAGCGUGGGGAGCGAACAGG
rnacentral:rRNA from 1 species